rnacentral:rRNA from 1 species
UACGGAGGGGGCUAGCGUUGUUCGGAAUUACUGGGCGUAAAGCGCGCGUAGGCGGCUUUGCAAGUCGAGUGUGAAAUCCCCAGGCUUAACCUGGGAACUGCAUUCGAGACUGCAUGGCUAGAGUAUGGGAGAGGGAAGUGGAAUUUCAGGUGUAGCGGUGAAAUGCGUAGAUAUCUGAAGGAACAUCAGUGGCGAAAGCGACUUCCUGGACCAAUACUGACGCUCAUGUGCGAAAGCGUGGGGAGCAAACAGG